UACGGAGGGGGCGAGCGUUGUUCGGAGUUACUGGGCGUAAAGCGCACGUAGGCGGUGCGGUAAGUCAGGGGUUAAAGGCUGCAGCUCAACUGCAGUAAGGCCUUUGAUACUAUCGUGCUAGAGUACCAGAGAGGAUGGCGGAAUUCCCGGUGUAGCGGUGAAAUGCGUAGAUAUCGGGAGGAAUACCAGUGGCGAAGGCGGCCAUCUGGCUGGUAACUGACGCUGAGGUGCGAGAGCGUGGGGAGCAAACAGG
rnacentral:rRNA from 1 species